rnacentral:rRNA from 1 species
GAUGAACGCUGGCGGCGUGCCUAAUACAUGCAAGUCGAGCGAACAGACGAGGAGCUUGCUCCUCUGACGUUAGCGGCGGACGGGUGAGUAACACGUGGAUAACCUACCUAUAAGACUGGUAUAACUUCGGGAAACCGGAGCUAAUACGGGAUAAUAUAUUGAACCGCAUGGUUCGAUAGAGAGAGACGGUGUUGCUGUCACUUAUAGAUGGAUCCGCGCCGGAUGAGCUAGUUGGUACGGUAACGGCUUACCAAGGCGAGGAUGCGUAGCCGACCGGAGAGGGGGGUCGGCGACACUGGAAGUGAGCCACGGUCAUGAGUCCUACGGGAGGCAGCAGUAGGGAAUCGUCGGCAGUGGGCGAAAGCAUGACGGAGCAACGCCGAGUGAGUGAUGACGGUCUUCGGAUCGUAAAGCUCUGUUAUUAGGGAAGAACAAAUGUGUAAGUAACUAUGCCCGUCUUGACGGUACCUAAUCAGAAAGCCACGGCUAACUACGUG